AGUGAACGCUGGCGGUAGGCCUAACACAUGCAAGUCGAACGGCAGCACAGUAAGAGCUUGCUCUUACGGGUGGCGAGUGGCGGACGGGUGAGGAAUACAUCGGAAUCUACUUUUUCGUGGGGGAUAACGUAGGGAAAAUUACGCUAAUACCGCAUACGACCUACGGGUGAAAGCAGGGGAUCUUCGGACCUUGCGCGAUUGAAUGAGCCGAUGCCGGAUUAGCUAGUUGGCGGGGUAAAGGCCCACCAAGGCGACGAUCCGUAGCUGGUCUGAGAGGAUGAUCAGCCACACUGGAACUGAGACACGGUCCAUACUCCUACGGGAGGCAGCAGUGGGGAAUAUUGGACAAUGGGCGCAAGCCUGAUCCAGCCAUACCGCGUGGGUGAAGAAGGCCUUCGGGUUGUAAAGCCCUUUUGUUGGGAAAGAAAAGCAGCAGGUUAAUACCCCGCUGUUCUGACGGUACCCAAAGAAUAAGCACCGGCUAACUUCGUG
rnacentral:rRNA from 1 species